UACGAAGGGGGCUAGCGUUGCUCGGAAUCACUGGGCGUAAAGCGCACGUAGGCGGACUCUUAAGUCAGGGGUGAAAUCCUGGAGCUCAACUCCAGAACUGCCUUUGAUACUGGGAGUCUUGAGUUCGGGAGAGGUGAGUGGAACUGCGAGUGUAGAGGUAAAAUUCGUAGAUAUUCGCAAGAACACCAGUGGCGAAGGCGGCUCACUGGCCCGAUACUGACGCUGAGGUGCGAAAGCGUGGGGAGCAAACAGG
rnacentral:rRNA from 1 species